UUUCUCCUCUCUCUCGUUCGUGGGAGAUAAAUCGUGAAUCGACAGUCAUCGGAAAAACCAACCGAUUAACAUCAUAUCGUUGAUUUAUCCGGCUAAAUCUCGAUGAUUUUGGGAUAAACGGAGGGUGAUUGGAGAUUGUAUUGGCCUAACCCAGCCUAUUAGGGUUUGUCACUUCGGUUCUCACGAUUUGGCGACGGCGAAGGUUCCACAGUGGUGGGACAACGAUGGCGGAGGAGUGGUGGGACAACAGCGGAUGUCCGACGAGGUCCACCGUCUAACGAAUUGGAGAGAUACGGUUCGUCUUCUGAUCUAUGUUUUUUUGUGUUUCUGUAAUUCAUCUUCGUAUGGUCUUUAAUUAUUAGGGUUUCGUAUUAAUUCGAUUGCUUGUUAGAAUUGUUAAUCUUUGCUGUCGAUUUGACUUAUUAGGCAUCGAUUGUGAGAUUAAUUUGAUGUUCUUGAUGACUUGUGUUAUUGAUGUUUAACAAGAUUGUCUUGUUUUCUGCGAGAUUCUCAUGAACUGGAUAUAGCGGUUAAAUGAUGAAGAGUGGUGUUGAUGAAGUGGUUUACCGGUUGGACAGUCAAAAUUGAUAAGGUUUCUCAUGAAAUGUAGCUGUGGACAGUCACGUGAAGAGAAGAAAUUGUCUUGUUGUGGAACAUGUCACGGAUUUGGGAUGUUUUGUUGAUGUGAAGGGUUAUGUCUAAAUGGCUUUUGAUGUUUGUAAGGAGUGUAUGGCUUUUGAUGGUUGUAAGGAUUGUAUGGCUUUUGUAAGGGUUAUGUCUAAAUGAUUGAGUAACCUUCUUUUGGGUUCUCUAGUAAUAGGGUGAUUUUGCUUAA